UCGUCGAGAAAGGACUCGAAUUCGGCGA
rnacentral:piRNA from 1 species